AACGUAGGUUCCGAGCGUUAUCCGGAUUUACUGGGCGUAAAGCGCGUUCAGGCGGUUCGGCAAGUCGGGCAUGAAAUCUCUCGGCUCAACCGGGAGAGGUUGUCCGAUACUGUUGGACUUGAGGGCAGUAGAGGGUGGUGGAAUUCCGGUGUGAGUGGUGAAAUGCGUAGAUAUCCGGAGGAACACCGAGUGGCAGAGGCGACUCCUGGACCGGUAUUGACGCUGAGGCGCGAAAGCGUGGGGAGCAAACAGG
rnacentral:rRNA from 1 species